GUAGGCUCAUUGUAGAUGUCACAUGCAGAGUGCUAGUCACUCAACUAAUCACAUUGGGGAAGAUCUGAGGUUGGAGCCAAUCACUGCCCUAGCAGGGCAUCACCUGAUCAGGGAGUUAUCGGAACUUCCUAAUUCACUUGAAUGGCCCUCCAAGACGGAAUGGGAAAUGUUGUUGACGUAACAGAUGUAUAAUCGUACUCUCCUUGCGUUGUGUUUUGUCCUAAUAAAUCACACCAGCCAGUGGACCCAGUUGAGUUUCAUUUAUUCCUGU
rnacentral:RNase_P_RNA from 1 species